rnacentral:sRNA from 1 species
UUUAAAUAGAAAUAUCCAAUUGCCAUGGGAAAUAUUCUUCGGUCCGUCAAAUUAGCAAUUCGUUCGAAAAUUGUAACAAAUAUAUAUAAAUUAAAAAAUAACGUGACCACACCAUUGUUUUUCACUUUACUUUUCGAAAAAACGAUUAAAAACGUCGGUCGGGCCUAUUGUUUGUUUUACAAAACGAGCGGUAAAAUUUAAUUAGAAAAACUGCGUCCAAAUUCUAAAUUCAGCUAUAUAAUCGCCAAUUUAAAAUUACUUACUAUUGUGAAAAAGGAAUUCGAUAAUACGUAUAACGGGAGGGGUAAAAUUUAUUAAAAUAACAAAAUAUCGUUUAAAAUGUUUUUGGAAUAUCGGUAAAUGGCAGGCUCGAAAUAAUAUUUGUAGGCGUUUUAUAAUAUUACCUAAUAUUAUAAUUAGCUCUCCUAAAGUGCAAAGGUAUUCGCUCCGCCGGAAGCGAUAUUUAAAAGCAAAAAUGGGACAGGUCCGUAACUUGGAACCGCUCAGGAAAUAUUAUAUAAAUAAGGAAAUAUACUAAUAAUAACGCAAAGGUACAAUGCUAUCCAAAAAAUAUAAUUUAAAUAAUGUUAAAGGUUAAAAAGGAAAAUAAUGGUCCAAUAAUAAAAAGCAGCAAUGCUAUAACGCAAUAAUGUUCCAAAACAUACGCUCCACUUUUAUAUUUUCGUUUUUUACCAAAAUUAGCUUACACAUCGGAAUUAUACGACUGGGAGGCGUACCCCCAUAUUUUUAUAUAUAUUUUAUACCCGGCUUACUAUUUCUAAACUUGGAUAUAAUUGUCGACAGAUUUUAAAUUAAUAGCCGAUCGUUAUCCCUAAUUCCACCUAUUUUAUCUUUACCGAUUCGAACAAGUACGUCCUUAUUAUAAUAUAAAGCAGCGGUCUCUGGUUUAUCCUUGGAUUUGCCUGUCAAAUGAAAUAGUUUUUAAAGCUUUUUCAGUUUUAGCUUUUCCAUAUUAUAACGUUUUAAAGCGAUUGUUAUCUUAAUACCUUCGAUGCUAACUUCGUGCGAUUCCUUAUUAUAUUUAUAUAAUUUAAGCGAAUGGCGAAUAUCCGGGGCAAAUUAAAUAUCGCCGCCCCAAUCGUUUGCGGUAAAUAAGAGAUAUAUUCGUUCGUCGUUACUUUUGUAAAAUUUGAGAAUGUCGUAGUUUAUUAAAACCGGGAUAAGUGGCGAAACAUGUGUAUACGUUUGGUUUAUUACCGUAUUAAACCAUUUAUCGUCUUUAAAAAUUUUGUUCCAAAUUUGCAUUGUUUUUUUUUGUUUUGGGUAAAAAUUCGCAUUAAUCCCAACCUGUACCAAUCCUUUCUUUAAAUAAAUGCGAAAUAUAGGAGGUAAAUAUUUUGUAAUCGUGUCGAAAAUUUCUUGUGGUAAAUUCCCGAAAACUGCAAGUUUUUUUUAUUCAAAUAUAGGAUCUAAUAUAAAAUAAACUACCCGGCGUAUCGUGCCUGCAAACAAAUAUUAAAUAGCGCAGCGAGGGUUUUUUUAUAAAUUAUUAUUAUUGCACCCUGUUUAUUACCUGCGUUGGGGAUCUGCGAAACCCUAGAUUUCGCAAAUAAAAUGCAUUUCCAGCAUCCUAUUUUCGGUCCGGAAUUUCUAAAAGCCACCCUAAAAUAGCAGGACGGAAAACAGGAUUGCUGUUCCUAUAUUUAUAACACCGUAACGAUUUUUAUUCGGGUUUUAAAAUUAUAAACCAGAAAUUAUCUUUUAAUUAUAUCCCGUUUGUGGAAUUAGUUCCACCUUAUUACCCCAUUUAAUUGAAAAUUGGAACCCUUAAAAACAUAUUUUGCAUUUUCUGGUUUUAUUUUUUUAUACCGCAGUCCCUAUCGCUUGACGCCCUUAAAUCGCACGACAAUUUAAUUGCAUUUUAUUCCGUAUUAAACGAGAUUACAGGGAUUUUUAAUUUAUCGUUUGUCGUUCGUUACCUAUUAUAUAAUGGACGACAUUUUCCUUCGCUUUUUCCUACUUUUUUUAUCCAUCCGAAAAUAGUUUUACGAAAAAUACGCCGUUAAGGUCUAAGUUUUUGCGAAAACGCACAACGUUCGGAACUUUUUUCGGCAUCCCGGGUAACAAUGCGAUAUUUAAUUACGUACGUCUAUUUGUAUUUGGAAAAAAACUACAAUUAAUAUAUAGCCGUAGGUUGUUGUCGGAGGUGGUAACGCCGGUUUUGCCGUAGCCGCCCGUUUUGCGCAAUAGCAAAAAGGAACGGUGGCGGUCGUCGAAACCGGUAGCUUUUAUAAAAUUGGGAAUAAUAAUAUAAGCGAGGUUCCGGUAUUUAUUAAUAUAUUUGCGAGCAAAGGUAUUUACAAUUGGUAGCCGAUAGUAAAUAUAUUUCCCAACGUAUGGUUGCACCGGCCGGUAACAAAUAUUUCGUUAUUUAUAUUCGAAAAUUUUGCCAUUAUCGAAACGAAACGACAAUGUUAUCGAAACAGGUUUUAUAAAAGUUGCUAUUAAUUAUAAAUGCUAAUUAUAAAAUAAAUAGGUCGACUGGGGAUUUAUUACUAAGCCUCAAAUUGUAAAUUUUGUUACGGUCUUUUGUAAGAUAA